UUUUUAUGUUUCACAAGCUUCAUGAUAAUGUUUGUAUGUUGCAUAAGUUUAUGGAAAUAAAUUAAUAUUAUACUUUUAAAAAAUUAAAACCCCACCGACCUUAAAAAAAAAAAAAAAAAAAAAAAAAAAAAAAUUUUGAUAAGGCAAUUUUUUGAUAAAACAAAAUUUUGAUAGAGCAAAAUUUUGAUAAAACAAAUAUAACAUGAUAAAUUAAUUGCAAUAGAAUGAACUAAAUAUAAUAUUAUAUUUAAGAAAAAAAAAUCAAAGGCAACAAAAAAAAUAUAAAAAUAAAAAACAAAAGAAAACAGAAGAAAAUAGAAGAAAAUAUAAACAAAGCGAAAUAUAACUCCAUUAUAUAUAUAUUACUAACUCCUAUAAACAUUAAGUCAAAAUGAUGCAAACAGAAACCUUGAAGUGGGUUGAUAUGGACAUUGACGAUUCCGAAUCUGUGAAUAAGAAUGAAAAUGAACAUGAAAAUGAGAAUGAUAACAAAAGCAGUAAUACAUUUAAAAAUGAAACAAUCAAUCAAACAAUUAAACGAACGAACGAACACAACAUAAUACUAUCCAUUUAUACACAUAUAUAUAUGUACAUAUACGUACAUAUACGAGUGACGCAAAUUAGAAAACAGACGAAACAGCACAAUGCGACAAAAUAAUUUAUACAUAAUAGAGCAUCCACCUUAUUUAAAAAAAUUUACAUAAAUCAUUCAUUAAAAUUUUUUUUUUUUUUUUUUUUNNNNNNNNNNUUUUGUAAUAUAUACCUACAAAUAUUUUUUUUGUAAUAUAUACCUUCAAAUAUUUUUUUUGUAAUAUUUUUUUUGUAACACUUUUUUUGAAAUAUUUUGUUUGAAAUACUUUUUUUUUGAGAUAUUUUUUUUUUUUUUUUUGUUAUUUAAAGUUGUGUUCUUUACUUUUUUAUACCGUUUGUGUACGUAUAAUACGUAUGUAUGUAUUUUUAUUUUUUUAUAUAUAACAAAAAUUGCUUAAAUUUUUAUCAUUUAAAAAGGGGGCUUUUUAAAUGCUUUAGUUACAUUAGGGAAAAAAAAAAAAAAAAAAAAUGGCUCGUGCACACUUGUAUUGAAAAUGUUAAAAAUAUAUAUACAAUCUAUGUUUUUUAUGUAUAUAGUAAAAGUAUAUAAAAAAAAAAAAAAAAAUAAUAAUAAAGUAAAAAUAGUAUUAAAAAAAAAAAAAAAU
rnacentral:lncRNA from 1 species